GCCUACGGCCAUACCACGUUGAACACACCGGUUCUCGUCCGAUCACCGAAGUUAAGCAACGUCGGGCCUGGUUAGUACUUGGAUGGGUGACCGCCUGGGAACACCGGGUGCUGUAGGCA
rnacentral:rRNA from 1 species